UUUAUGCGGUGAUGAUUGUUUUACAGCUAAUAUGCCAGUUCUGCUUCAGAAAAUUCUUGAUUGAUAAGCUGUUUAAUCUCUCUGAGCGUCUC
rnacentral:snoRNA from 1 species